AUGUGUUUCGAUUCUUUCGAACAAGAGAGGUUUGAUGCUUUUGAAUUCAUUGUAUUAAUUCCACUUCCUACUCGCAGUAUGCUCUUUAUGAUCUCGGCUCAUGAUUCAAUUGCCAUGUAUUUAGCUAUUGAGCCUCAAAGUUUAUGUUUUUAUGUGAUGGCAGCAUCAAAAAGAAAGUCUGAAUUUUCCACGGAAGCCGGCUCGAAAUAUUUGAUCUUAGGUGCAUUUUCCUCUGGAAUCUUACUGUUUGGGUACGACCGGACAACUACCGAUAUCUAA
rnacentral:lncRNA from 1 species